UACAGAGGUCUCAAGCGUUGUUCGGAUUCAUUGGGCGUAAAGGGUGCGUAGGCGGCGCGGUAAGUCGGGUGUGAAAUCUCGGAGCUUAACUCCGAAACUGCAUUCGAUACUGCCGUGCUUGAGGACUGGAGAGGAGACUGGGAUUUACGGUGUAGCGGUGAAAUGCGUAGAUAUCGUAAGGAAGACCAGUGGCGAAGGCGGGUCUCUGGACAGUUCCUGACGCUGAGGCACGAAGGUCAGGGGAGCAAACAGG
rnacentral:rRNA from 1 species